UGAAGUUUCAAUGACUAAAGUAAACCAUUACAUUCAUCAUCAAAAACUUUAACAAACUAGAACUAAUACAUGAUUCACAGGGAAAUCAAAUAGACAAAGACCAACAAGCAACAAUGAACGUAAUUAAAAUGUUUAAACAUAUACCAAAUUUUUCAAAAUAAAUAAAACAAUAAGGAACACAUAUUACAGUAGACAAUGCAGCAAGAAACAUUACCCUUCAAGCUUCAACAGCAUCAACCGGCUUAUCCUCAACAUCAUUAGCAGCAACAUUCGGCUCAGCAUCUUGCCCUUCCUCCGUCGGUGGCUGAACUUGCUCAUCCUCGGGCAGUGGCUCCUCCACAUAGUCAUUCUCAAAAGCAUCUGGAGGCACCUCAUAUAUCCUAACUUGGGGCUUCGAUGGGUCCUUAACAAGCACAUACUUGCCCUCAUUCAAUUUCAUACACAAGUCCACAAUCGACUUCACAAUCCCCCACAU
rnacentral:lncRNA from 1 species